GAUGAACGCUGGCGGCGUGCCUAAUACAUGCAAGUCGAGCGAAGCGGGGACGGGUGAGUAACACGUGGAGAACCUCCUAUAAGAAUGGGAUAACUUCGGGAAACCGGAGCUAAACCGGAAACUUAAACAUGGUUCCGCGCUGCAUUAGCUAGUUGGUAAGGUAACGGCUGACCAAGGCAACGAUGCAUAGCCGACCUGAGAAGGUGAUCGGCCACACUGGAACUGGGGCACGGUCCAGACUCCUACGGGGGGCAGCAGUAGGGAAUCUUCCGCAAUGGGCGGAAGGCUGACGGAGCAACGGCGCGUGAGUGAUGGAGGGCUUCGGAUCGUAAAACUCCUUUAUGAGGGAAGCGGUUCCUAAUCAGAAAGCCACGGCUAACUCGGUGCAGCCAGCCGCGGUAAUUC
rnacentral:rRNA from 1 species